UACCAUGCAGUCGAGCGGUAACAGAAAGUAGCUUGCUACUUUGCUGACGAGCGGCGGACGGGUGAGUAAUGCCUGGGAAUAUGCCUUGAUGUGGGGGAUAACUAUUGGAAACGAUAGCUAAUACCGCAUAAUGUCUUCGGACCAAAGAGGGGGAUCUUCGGACCUCUCGCGUCAAGAUUAGCCCAGGUGAGAUUAGCUAGUUGGUGGGGUAAGAGCUCACCAAGGCGACGAUCUCUAGCUGGUCUGAGAGGAUGAUCAGCCACACUGGAACUGAGACACGGUCCAGACUCCUACGGGAGGCAGCAGUGGGGAAUAUUGCACAAUGGGCGAAAGCCUGAUGCAGCCAUGCCGCGUGUAUGAAGAAGGCCUUCGGGUUGUAAAGUACUUUCAGUCGUGAGGAAGGGUGUGUAGUUAAUAGCUGCAUAUCUUGACGUUAGCGACAGAAGAAGCACCGGCUAACUCCGUGCCAGCAGCCGCGGUAAUACGGAGGGUGCGAGCGUUAAUCGGAAUUACUGGGCGUAAAGCGCAUGCAGGUGGUUCAUUAAGUCAGAUGUGAAAGCCCGGGGCUCAACCUCGGAACCGCAUUUGAAACUGGUGAACUAGAGUGCUGUAGAGGGGGGUAGAAUUUCAGGUGUAGCGGUGAAAUGCGUAGAGAUCUGAAGGAAUACCAGUGGCGAAGGCGGCCCCCUGGACAGACACUGACACUCAGAUGCGAAAGCGUGGGGAGCAAACAGGAUUAGAUACCCUGGUAGUCCACGCCGUAAACGAUGUCUACUUGGAGGUUGUGGCCUUGAGCCGUGGCUUUCGGAGCUAACGCGUUAAGUAGACCGCCUGGGGAGUACGGUCGCAAGAUUAAAACUCAAAUGAAUUGACGGGGGCCCGCACAAGCGGUGGAGCAUGUGGUUUAAUUCGAUGCAACGCGAAGAACCUUACCUACUCUUGACAUCCACAGAAGAGACCAGAGAUGGACUUGUGCCUUCGGGAACUGUGAGACAGGUGCUGCAUGGCUGUCGUCAGCUCGUGUUGUGAAAUGUUGGGUUAAGUCCCGCAACGAGCGCAACCCUUAUCCUUGUUUGCCAGCACGUAAUGGUGGGAACUCCAGGGAGACUGCCGGUGAUAAACCGGAGGAAGGUGGGGGCGACGUCAAGUCAUCAUGGCCCUUACGAGUAGGGCUA
rnacentral:rRNA from 1 species